AGUGGGAUAGCUGGGUCAAGUGGUUCCGUUUCAAGUUUUCUGUGGAAUCUCCAUACUGCUUUCCAAAGUGGUUGUACCAAUUUGCAGUCCCACCAGCAAU
rnacentral:pre_miRNA from 1 species